AGUGAACGCUGGCGGCGUGCUUAACACAUGCAAGUCGAACGAGAACGGAUUAUAGCUUGCUAUAAUUGUCAGCUAAGUGGCGCACGGGUGAGUAAUGUAUAGGUAAUAUGCCUCUUACUAAGGGAUAACAAAUGGAAACGUUUGCUAAUACCUUAUACUCCUUAUUAACAGAAGUUAAUAAGGGAAAGAUUUAUUGGUAAGAGAUUAGCCUGUAUUGUAUCAGUUAGUUGGUGGGGUAAUGGCUUACCAAGACUAUGACGCAUAACUGGUUUGAAGGCAUGAUCAGUCAAACUGGAACUGAGACACGGUCCAGACUCCUACGAGAUGGAUCAUUGGGGAAUAUUGCACGAUGGAAGAAAUUCUAAUGCAGCAACGCCGCGUGGAGGAUGACACAUUUCGGUGCGUAAACUCCUUUUAUAUGAGACGAUAAUGACGGUAUUAUAUGAAUAAGCACCGGCUAACUCCGUGCCAGCCGCCGCCGUAA
rnacentral:rRNA from 1 species